UCAAAUUUGUAGCUGUUAUAGUUUCGGGGAUUUCAUGAUGAAUGAGUCAAUGUACCAUCCCCCGUUUUAACCCCGAAAGGGAGUUGAUUUCUAAAGAUACAUUGUUUAGAGACCUCCUCACCAACUAUGGAGCAUACAUUUUAAAUUUCAAGUCUCUUACUUCAAAAUCAUAGUACGUUCAUACAAACUUGCAACCCCCAUUUCACCCCCUUAGGGGUCGAGUUUCGUAAAAUUUGUUCUUAGCGGAUGUUUACGCUCUAUAAGGAACCUACCUAUCAAACGUCAAAUUUGUAG
rnacentral:misc_RNA from 1 species